GGGAGGGGGAGGAAAAGGGAUGAUCCGAGAGAUGGAACAAAACAGUGCCGGGCAGAAAGGUACCUCUGAGUCACGCUGCCGUGCUGGAUUAAGGAGGCUUCGCGGCUGCCUUGCCCGGAUUUGUCUGAGUGUGCUAAUAAACUGUUUUCUCACUGCCAGCCUCAUACAGGAACCAAACAGGAACUGAUUAAAUUCUUAAUUCCAAAGUAAAUUCUUGCCAUCAGCUUUGCCACUACGUCUAGUCUUCUCUGCCAGUCUUACUUCGGCCCCCGGCCCGCCACUGUCAGUGCUUAAAAUACAACACAUUCGCCUUUGCUCCAGAGCCUGCGGUCGGACCUAGGAAGGUCCCUGCUGAGAGGGUCCCGGUGGCAGCCAGGCCCCGCUGCGUGGAACCGCUCACACGGGAAGAUGGGGAGCCGACAAGGCAGGUGAGAGAGCAGCUUUAGAACUGCCCUGUUUGCACCAUAGGGGUGUUGUUGUUGUUGUUUUCCCUGCAGAAAUACCAUAAAAUAUGUCAACCGUAACUGAGAGUACCAAAUUGGCAACGUUUCUCAUUUAUGCCUGGUUUUCUCAUCGUAAGGGCUUGAAGGCAAAGGCUCCAAGACUGUUAACAGCAGCCAGUAUGGUAAUUAACACUUUGUUGGCCAUUAACAAGGAAAAAAAAUAUAUUAGUACAACUCAAGUUUCAUUUUUCUGUUUUGUUUAUUGGAGGGUAAUGAGCUUAUAAAGCACUUUUUAUGGCAUAUUGUGGCUUCUGGGGACAGAGCGCCGGCAAUCCAAGAAAAUUCUUGAUUCUUCCAGCCGUGCCCAGAGGGUUUUCAUUUGCUGUCUCCCCACUCAGAGCCAGAGGGCCAGGGCUGGAGACCCUGCCUGCCCCAGCUGAUUUCUAGAAUAUCGGUCUUGGAACAGCUUCCUUCUUUUCUCCUCCAAUUCUAUGAAAUACACUAAAACACUGCUUAACUACACAGGCUUGGCAGCGAGGAUGGACUCGGGCUGCCAGCUCACCUCUCCCAACCCGGAACGCAGGCAGGCACAGGAACUGGGAGCGCUGCAGAAGCCAGCAGAAUGGCCCGCGGGACCGAGCCCCUGGGUGUUUUACAAGGCCAGCUAUAUUCUACUGCAAACAACCGUCGGAUCCUGCUGCGGCUACCCGUGCUGACACGCAGGUGCUGAAUACUGCAGGUGGCCAAGUGCUCUACGGGUACAAGAAUUCAUCCCACUGGCCCCAGAAAGGACCGUCGGUCGCUGUCGCUUCAUUGCCUGCACUGCUGCAGAGCUGCACCUGGAGCCACGGCCGCAGGCUCUGCCACCAUGUCCUGUCCUGGCGGUUAGCCCUGCCUUCGUCGGGCUCACACCCCAAAUAUUAGCAUGCAUAAUUGCACUUUCAUCCCAUAUGCAAACUUGUAGUCAUUGGACAAGUCUGGUGAAUGCUGCCUCGCUUUUUUAACCACGCACUGAGCAUGUAUUUCACAUCUGUACAAAAUCAGCUGAAACUAUAUUGUUAGCUUUCACCUCCGAACUUGAAAAGCUGCCACCGUGUAACUCAAAUAACUGAUUUGCACAUCAAGCAGCCGGGACAUAUUAAACGUUUUGUUGUGUGA